rnacentral:rRNA from 1 species
UACGUGGGGGGGCAAGCGUUGUCCGGAUUUAUUGGGCGUAAAGAGCGUGUAGGCGGUUUGGUAGGUCCGCUGUGAAAACUCGAGGCUCAACCUCGAGACGCCGGUGGAAACCAUCAGGCUAGAGUCCGGAAGAGGAGAGUGGAAUUCCUGGUGUAGCGGUGAAAUGCGCAGAUAUCAGGAGGAACACCCGUGGCGAAAGCGGCUCUCUGGGACGGUACUGACGCUGAGACGCGAAAGCGUGGGGAGCAAACAGG